rnacentral:rRNA from 1 species
UUGCAAGGUAUAGACCCGAAACCCGGUGAUCUAGCCAUGGUCAGGUUGAAGGUUGGGUAACACUAACUGGAGGACCGAACCGACUACUGUUGAAAAAGUAGCGGAUGAAUUGUGGCUGGGGGUGAAAGGCCAAUCAAACCGGGAGAUAGCUGGUUCUCCCCGAAAUCUAUUUAGGUAGAGCCUUAUAUGAAUACCUUUGGGGGUAGAGCACUGUUUCGGCUAGGGGUCCAUCCCGGAUUACCAACCCGAUGCAAACUGCGAAUACCAAAGAGUAAUAUAUAGGAGACACACGGCGGGUGCUAACGUUCGUCGUGGAGAGGGAAACAACCCAGACCGCCAGCUAAGGUCCCAAAGUCUAUAUUAAGUGGGAAACGAGGUGGAAAGGCAUAGACAGCUAGGAUGUUGGCUUAGAAGCAGCCAUCAUUUAAAGAAAGCGUAAUAGCUCACUAGUCGAGUCGGUCUGCGCGGAAGAUGUAACGGGGCUAAAAUAUAGCACCGAAGCUGCGGCAUCA